rnacentral:rRNA from 1 species
GGCGGACGGGUGAGUAACACGUGGGAACGUGCCCUUCUCUAUGGAAUAGCCACUGGAAACGGUGAGUAAUACCAUAUACGCCCUUCGGGGGAAAGAUUUAUCGGAGAAGGAUCGGCCCGCGUUAGAUUAGGUAGUUGGUGGGGUAAUGGCCUACCAAGCCUACGAUCUAUAGCUGGUUUUAGAGGAUGAUCAGCCACACUGGGACUGAGACACGGCCCAGACUCCUACGGGAGGCAGCAGUGGGGAAUCUUAGACAAUGGGGGAAACCCUGAUCUAGCCAUGCCGCGUGAGUGACGAAGGCCUUAGGGUCGUAAAGCUCUUUCGCCAGAGAUGAUAAUGACAGUAUCUGGUAAAGAAACCCCGGCUAACUCCGUGCCAGCAGCCGCGGUAAUACGGAGGGGGUUAGCGUUGUUCGGAGUUACUGGGCGUAAAGCGCACGUAGGCGGAUUAGAAAGUUGGGGGUGAAAUCCCGGGGCUCAACCUCGGAACGGCCUCCAAAACUCCUAGUCUAGAGUUCGAGAGAGGUGAGUGGAAUUCCAAGUGUAGAGGUGAAAUUCGUAGAUAUUUGGAGGAACACCAGUGGCGAAGGCGGCUCACUGGCUCGAUACUGACGCUGAGGUGCGAAAGUGUGGGGAGCAAACAGGAUUAGAUACCCUGGUAG